rnacentral:rRNA from 1 species
CGGAUUGUAGGCUGAAACUACGCCUACAUGAAGCUGGAGUUACUAGUAAUCGCAGAUCAGAAUGCUGCGGUGAAUGCGUUCCCGGGUCUUGUACACACCGCCCGUCACACCACGGAAGUUGGGGGCGCCCGAAGCCACUUAGCUAACCCUUUUGGGAAGCGAGUGUCGAAGGUGAAAUCAAUAACUGGGGUGAAGUCGUAACAAGGUACC